UAUCCUUACGGCAGGCCGGAUUCCGUGCCUUCAAUAUGGCGUCCCCCAUGUAGACCGCCGCCGUGGUUUCUCCCUCAGGUGGCCGCGGCAAAUCUGAGCUGACGCUGCGGUCUGUGCAGCCUGGGCUGCAGAAGCAGCAAACUUCGUUCCUGGUGACGGCUCCAGAAAGUCACUGAGGGUCAGGACUCGAGUUUCUGAAAGUUCCUCUUUAGCCUCUGUUUCCCGCGCUGUCUCGGCACCUCAAAGUCCCUGACCCUCUCAGACGCAAACCAUGAGCGUUGGGCAGCUGCUCUUGCGCUUUCCCAGUUAUCUCGGGACCGUGGGACCCCCACGUCGCCUGUGGUGGUGGUCUAAGUCCCUCGACACCCCCUCGGUAGGCUCCUGUCGUGGUCGGUCCUCCAAGUCGCCGGCCCAUUGGAACCAGGUGGUGUCAGAGGCGGAGAAGAUCGUCGGCUAUCCCACGUCUUUCAUGAGCCUCCGCUGUCUGCUGAGUGACGAGCUCAGCAACAUCGCUAUGCAGGUGCGGAAGCUGGUGGGGACUCAGCACCCUCUCCUUACCACUGCCAGGGGCCUUGUGCAUGACAGCCGGCAUAAUCUCCAGUUGAGGGGCUUGGUGGUGCUGCUCCUUUCUAAAGCAGCGGGGCCCAGCACCAAGAACACUUCCUCUCCGAAUUAUGACAUGGUCAGUGGGAUACUCCCACGGUCCUGGAACUUCUAGGGAGUGCUCUUAUGGAGUUGGUGCAAGGAGUGUACCAGGAAAAUUCUACUUCAGCCAGGGAAAAAAGCAUGUGUUUUCAGUCUACAUGCUACAGGAAUUUUGGAAGUCCAACAUUCAUUUUGUACUGGUUCUAUCUUUGCCAGUCCAAAUUGCUGGUGUUGUUUCCCAACAACCACCAAACAAAAAUAAAAACAAGAAAGAGAACAGAAGAAACAAAGAGUUUGGAGGGUUGUUGACUGUAAUGAAGCAGCCACCAAACAAGUACCAUUUGCUGACUUUCUCAUUAGCUAAUAAAUUUGACUCAAAAGAAUAUGUGGCAACACUUUGUUCAUCUGAACUUUCCCCACCACCUUCCUAAACAAAGCCCUUUAAAGCACUUGUCUCCUUUUAAAGACAGUUAAGUUUCAAAAUGUAGCUAAACCGGUUAACAAUUAGGUUUUUUUGUUUUUUAAUUAAUGGGAACAAAAAUGCAUAGUUGAACCACAGCAGUGGGAGUGCUUCUUGCUUCCUUCAUUUUUACCCCAGGUCCAAUUUAGACUAACCACAUUUCCCUUCCUAACCAGAAAAAUUCUGUGCCCUUCUCCCCUACCCCCCAACCCCCUUCUUCUGAGUAUGCUUGCCACUGCAGUGAAUUAGUUUUUCUAACUUGGCCCAGGGAUCACUGCAGAGGCAGAACGCAUUACCCGCACAUGGAGUACCUUUCCAGGUCUGCAUGUUCUGGUAUGACUGAGGAGCCACAAGUGGAGAUCAUAUGGUAAGUGAGGCCCACUCUGUGGGUCUCUGUUUCACAACCUCCACAGCCUUGAGCCAAUUCAGUACACAAAAUUAUUACUUUGUGAUUUCAACUAAGCUACAGACCAUUUCAUCUGUUUAGGGAUAAGAGGAUACAGUAGUGGUCAAUUUUCUAUAUGGCAAUUUAAUCAGCAAUGGAGAAUCUUGUGGUAGGAAAGUGGCUUUCUCUGGAGUUGUGGCUGUGACUAGGGAACGUACAUUAAAACAAAUGGGAAUUGGAACUGGAUGUUUUAGAAAUCACCUUCCCCAAAAGAAGCUCAUAAAUGUCUAAUUGUCCUUAGAACAAUGAAAACUUUAUGAUUUAAAUUAUUAAUAUUGAAUGAAUUGAUCAUGAAAACAUGCAAAGCACUUUAGGAAAUUUAUCCUUUGUUCUACCCAUUGAAGAAAUAUUUUUAUUUUUGCAUUUGCUAGCUUGUGAGCCAUUUCUUCCUUACAAUAAAAUUUAACCCUCGGGCCUUUUAAAAAGUUCAUAAGAAAAUAUCUUUCUCCCCUCUACCCAUUUCUUCUAUAUUAGCUAAUUGAAGAAAGAAACAAGUAGAAAAAUUGCAUUGUCAGUGGUCAUUUGCCAUUCUAAUGGUUACCUACUACUCUAUUAUAUGUAUAUAUAUUUAUAUACAUAUUUGCAUUCUCAGCUCAUGUUGCUUCAUUGUACACAUACACAUGCAUACACACACACACACACACACACAGAGUUCCUAGUUCUUAACAACAGUUUCUUUCUAGAGCAAGGAAUAAAAUUUCUUCAAAACUCACAACCAUGCACAGAUUAAAAAGCAAGCUGCUUUUUGUGAUACCUCAAAUAUAUUCAAUGAAAUUCUUUUAGCAUUUUCUUAUAUACCAGUGGUACAACAGAGACUAUAGAACAGCAAGUUAACAGCAAGCAACUCGUAUACUUAAAAGACAGUAAAUAACCUAUUAUGAAAGGUAACUUAAAUAUUCUUGAUCAUUUUAAUUAUAGGAGAAUGUAGUUUAAGGUUAAUGCCAAGACUAGUAUUGUUGUUUAAAGAUUGUAGAUAACAUACUGCCAGAAUACCUUUCUGACCCCUGGCAAGUUUAGUGCUGGUAUGGAAUCAUGGCCUCAUGCGUGCUAGAGAAGUGCUAUAGUAGUGUAAGUUCUGCCUAUAUAUUAUACUUAUAUUCUCUUUGUGGUUGUUAAAUAUAUUUUAAUAUUGACUUUGGAGUCACAAACCAAAAUAUAUAAACUUUUAAUACAGUUUCCUUAAUUAUUAUGAUUAUUGUAACAUAUUUUCUGAUUAGUAAAGCACUAUAUAAUCAUUAAAUAAGAAUUGAAAUUACAGCCACCUCUGCAGAGUGCUUAUCCCUAAAUAGGACGCCUAUAUCAAAUUUCUGCCCCCCAAGGUUCAGGGAUCAUUGUGGAAGAGGGGGCAGAAAGAUUGUAAGAGCCAGAGAAGGUGAAUGACUACAAGGAAUCAGUUUUUCAGACAGCUGCGUAGUUAUUCAUACGAACUCAUAGUAACAGUGACAGCAUGUCCCAUGCAAGCUCAAACCAGAAAAAUAUCCCAGCAUAAACAUGAAGAAGUGGAUAAGAUGCUCCAAUGCCACCUAAGGCAAUUGUGUCAGCAGAUGGCUGCUGGGAGGGGCAAAGACAGUCUCUUUCAAGCAUGGGACUCUUGGUGAGUUAACCAGGCUCCACUGGAUGGACCCAUGUUGAAGGACAUUUGGGCACACAAAUUACA